rnacentral:rRNA from 1 species
AAAGGUACUCAAGGGCGCUAAAUGGAUGCCUAGACGUAUAUUACCGAAGAAGGACGUGGAAGACUGCGAUAAGCCUCGGGAAGCUGUCAACAAGCUUUGAUCCGGGGAUUUCCGAAUGGGGAAACCCAGCAUGAGUCAUGUCAUGUUGCCACUUGCUGAACACAUAGGCAAGCGAGCGGGAACCAUCUGAACUGAAACAUCUUAGUAGGAUGAGGAAGAGAAAGUAAAUAACGAUUGCGAAAGUAGUGGCGAGCGAAAUCGCAACAGCCCAAACCUUUUAAGUUUUUGCCUAUUUAUUUAGGCAAAUAAGUUGAUAGACGAAUACUUAAUAAGGGGUUGUGAUAUUACAUAUGACCAAGUCAGAGCAUUUGAAUUCGUUCAAAUAAUCUGAUUUGCGAUACCAGGCUAUCAACUGGUAGUAAGGUAAGAAAAUUGCGUGGUUAGCAGAAUAGUUUGAAUGACUAGCCAAAGAAUGUGAAAGCCGUGUACGCGAAAACGACGCUGACCUUAUGUAUGUUUUAUCGAGUAGGACGGGGCACGAGAAACCCUGUUUGAAUCUGGCUGGACCACCAGCCAAGGCUAAAUAUAAUAUACGAUCGAUAGUGAACUAGUACAGUGAUGGAAAGGUGAAAAGAACCCCGGGAGGGGAGUGAAAUAGAUCCUGAAAUUUAGUGCCUACAAGGAGUCGGAGCCGGCUUGUCCGGUGACGGCGUGCUUUUUGUAGAACGAUCCAGCGAGUUAAUUUUUACAGCGAGGUUAAGUCAAUUGACGGAGCCACAGUGAAAGCGAGCCUGAAUAGGGCGUUUAGUUGUAAGGAUUAGACCCGAAACCGGGUGACCUAACCAUGAGCAGGUUGAAGCCACUGUAACAGGUGGUGGAGGACCGAACCAGGAUACGCAGCAAAGUGUUUGGAUGACUUGUGGUUAGCGGUGAAAUGCCAAUCGAACUCGGAGAUAGCUGGUUCUCCUCGAAACAGUUUUAGGACUGGCGUCGUGUCGUAACAUACGGGGGUAGAGCUCUGUAAAGGACUGGGGCGGGCAACUGUACCCACCCUUAACAAACUACGAAUACCGUAUGCGGAAUCACGGCAGUUAGAACGGCGGAGCUAAGUUCGUCGCUCGAAAGGGAAACAGCCCAGACCAUCAUCUAAGGUCCCUAAAUUAACGUUCAGUGGGAAACAAGGUGAGAUUUCUUAAACAGCUAGGAUGUUGGCUUAGAAGCAGCCAUUCAUUUAAAGAGUGCGUAACAGCUCACUAGUCAAGAGAUCUUGCGUGGAAAAUGUAACGGGGCUAAAACGUUAUACCGAAGAUAUGGGUCUAUACAUUAGUAUGGGCGGUAGAGGAGCGUUCCUAUCAGCAGUGAAGUCGAAUCGGAAGGUUCGGUGGAGCGGUAGGAAGUGAGAAUGCUGGAAUGAGUAACCAUAAGAGAGGUGAGAAUCCUCUCGGCCGUAAGAGCAAGGUUUCCUGAGCCAUGGUAAUCAUCUCAGGGUUAGUCGGGCCUAAGCCGAGGCGCAGAGCGUAGGCGAUGGACAUCAGGUUAAUAUUCCUGAACCGGUUAAGUUUUGUACACUGUUCACGGGGAAGUAAUCGAAGCGGAUUCAUGGUUUAUCCGUCCAACCGAGCGGGAACGCAAAGGGAGUGAAAGUGAUUCUUCGGAGUCGCGAUUUUGGUGAAAGCCCUGGCUAGAAAAGCAGGUGUACCUAGUGGACUUAGCCGCCCGUACCGCAAACCAACACAGGUGCUCGAGUCGAGUAGACUCAGGCUUACGAGCGAACCUUCGCUAAGGAACUCGGCAAUACAGCGACCGUAACUUCGGGAUAAGGUCUGCCCCCACUUCGGUGGAUAUCAGCCGCGUUCACUCAGUGAAUAUUAGGUUAAAGAGUACAUUUUUAAUCACAAAACGAAUUUUCUGAGAUAGAGCAAACAAACUGUUCUUUUGAGCGCGAAUCUCUGACAUCUGACGAUGUGGGGGCCGCAGCAAAAGAGCCCACGGAACUGUUUAUCAAAAACACAGGUCUCUGCUAACACGAAAGUGGAUGUAUAGGGGCUGACUCCUGCCCAAUGCUGGAAGGUUAAGGGGAGCGCUUCACGGUGCGAACUGAAGCCCUAGUCAAUGGCGGCGGUAACUAUAACCGUCCUAAGGUAGCGAAAUUCCUUGUCAGGUAAGUUC